CGGGGCUCGCGGGUCCGGGAGCGCGACGGAGACGAUGCCUGAGAUCAGAGUCACGCCCUUGGGGGCCGGCCAGGACGUGGGCCGAAGCUGCAUCCUGGUCUCCAUUGCGGGCAAGAAUGUCAUGCUGGACUGUGGAAUGCACAUGGGCUUCAAUGACGACCGACGCUUCCCUGACUUCUCCUACAUCACCCAGAAUGGCCGCCUGACAGACUUCCUGGACUGCGUGAUCAUUAGGCGCUGCCCUCGCCCUUGGGUCUGUGCCACCUUCACCUGCAGCUCCACUCAGCUUGUCUUGACUGCCUGAAAAGCUAGCGGCUCCCCCAUGCGCGGUUCCCUCAGCAGCUUUGCGCUGUCUCGCGAGCGUGUCGCCACGGUUCCUUCAACAGCUUUGCACUGUCUCGAGAGCAUGUCGCCGCGGUUCCCUUAGCAGCUUUGCAUUGUCGCCGUCACUGACGUGUUCAAUUUCCCGUUUGCUUAUUGCCUUGCUAGACUUUGAGACUGAAAGUUGCAGGGAGACAGUUCUAUGUUUGCUGAUUCCUGACUCUUUGGUACUUGGGAUGGGGCCUGGUGCACAGCAGGCGAAUGAAGGGGCCAGUGACCCACAAGCCCAGAGCUGGGGUGAAGGCUGGGGCAGGGUGGGCCCAGGCUGACCUGUGCUGCAUCCCCCUAGCCACUUCCACCUGGACCACUGCGGGGCACUCCCCUACUUCAGCGAGAUGGUGGGCUACGACGGGCCCAUCUACAUGACCCACCCCACCCAGGCCAUCUGCCCCAUCUUGCUGGAGGACUACCGCAAGAUCGCCGUGGACAAGAAGGGCGAGGCCAACUUCUUCACCUCCCAGAUGAUC
rnacentral:sRNA from 1 species